GGAGGGGGUUAGCGUUGUUCGGAAUUACUGGGCGUAAAGCGCACGUAGGCGGAUUAGUAAGUUAGAGGUGAAAUCCCAGGGCUCAACCCUGGAACUGCCUUUAAUACUGCUAGUCUUGAGUUCGAGAGAGGUAAGUGGAAUUCCGAGUGUAGAGGUGAAAUUCGUAGAUAUUCGGAGGAACACCAGUGGCGAAGGCGGCUUACUGGCUCGAUACUGACGCUGAGGUGCGAAAGUGUGGGGAGCAAACAGGAUUAGAUACCCUGGUAGUCCACGCCGUAAACGAUGUCAACUAGCCGUUGGGAGGGUAAUCCUUUUAGUGGCGCAGCUAACGCUCUAAGUUGACCGCCUGGGGAGUACGGUCGCAAGAUUAAAACUCAAAUGAAUUGACGGGGGCCCGCACAAGCGGUGGAGCAUGUGGUUUAAUUCGACGCAACGCGAAGAACCUUACCUGGUCUUGACAUCCUGCGAACUUUCUAGAGAUAGAUUGGUGCCUUCGGGAACGCAGUGACAGGUGCUGCAUGGCU
rnacentral:rRNA from 1 species